UACGUAGGGGGCAAGCGUUGUCCGGAUUUAUUGGGCGUAAAGAGCGUGUAGGCGGUCUGGUAGGUCCGUUGUGAAAACUCGAGGCUCAACCUCGAGACGCCGAUGGAAACCCUCAGACUAGAGUCCGGAAGAGGAGAGUGGAAUUCCUGGUGUAGCGGUGAAAUGCGCAGAUAUCAGGAAGAACACCCGUGGCUAAGGCGGCUCUCUAGUACGGUACUGACGCUGAGACGCGAAAGCGUGGGGAGCGAACAGG
rnacentral:rRNA from 1 species